GGUAACUUUCCCCCUGCUUUUCACUUUAUCUACACAACUGCCACAAUGCCAUUCAUUUCAUUCCAAUUCCAUUCGCUUUCACUCUAAAUUGAAUAAGCGCCGUCAUUUUCUGUGUUGCAGAGGACGAGGGCGAGACGAAGCAUCUAGAAGCGUUAGUAGAGGGAGCAGAGUCGCGCCUCCGUCUCUUCCAGAUCGACCUCCUCGACUACAACUCGAUACUCGCCGCCGUCAGUGGCUGCUCCGGCGUCUUCCACCUCGCCUCUCCCUGCAUCGUCGAUCAAGUCCACGACGCCGAGGUUCGCGCCAGUACACAUUAUCAAAUUCCUUCUAAUUUUGAUUAUAUUUGAUUAAUUAUGCGUCAUUUUGAAAACGUGGUCAUUUUUUUGUUUAAUCUGCAGAAGGAGCUUCUGGACCCGGCGAUCAAAGGAACGCUCAAUGUUCUGACGGCGGCGAAGCGCGCUGGGGUCAGCCGUGUGGUGCUGACGUCAUCCAUCUCCGCCAUCACUCCCAGCCCAAGCUGGCCGUCUGAUAAGGUCAAGGGCGAGGAUUGCUGGACAGACAUUGACUACUGCAAGCAGAAGGGAGUGAGUUACUCCAAUGCCUAAUUGUGUUUUGAAAAACCGCGGUUUAUUGUCUGUUUAAUGUCCGCAUUCUAUUUUCUUAUUGAAAGUUUGUAACUUUCGGUGCGAGUUUCCCCUGUUUGUAUUGAAUUUUUCAUCUUUGAUUAUUAAGUCUUCGUUUUUAACUAAUUGAAGUUUUCACAAAUGGGGACCUGUAAUGCUGAUUGUGUUUGGUGUUUGGCUAGGUGUGGAAUCCAUUACCGAAAACGCUGGCAGAGAAAGCAGCGUGGGAAUUUGCCAAGGAGAGGGGGCUGGAUGUGGUUGUGGUGAAUCCAGGCACGGUGAUGGGCCCUGUUAUCUCGGCCAGGUUCAAUGCUAGCAUGUUGAUGCUCGUUCGCCUUCUUGAGGGUACUUUUCUCUGCAAAUUUGUAUUAGAAUAUCCUCUGGGACUGCACCUAGAAGUAGAUUGUUGACUUUAUCCAAUUCCAUUUCAUAUAUUAUGUUGCUGAAAGCCUAAAACUAAGGUAACCAAUGAGGCUGUGGUUGGUUGAUGAACUAGAAAUUAGAUGCAUAUGUGUGAUCAUAAAGGAACUCUUCUACAUCUGUUUUUCUAGCACACGUUUCUUUAAGUUCUAAGCAAUCUCGAUAAAGUUUGUUUGGGUUCCUCUCUUUUGGAGAGGACUGAGAAAAAGGAAGAGGCCCUAGAAACAACAUGUAUAAAGUAAGAUUUGAGAUGUUCAAUCUUUGCUGCAGGCUGCACUGAAACUUAUGAGGACUUCCUUGUGGGAUCCGUUCAUUUUAAAGAUGUAGCUCUCGCACACAUUUUAGUGUAUGAGAACAAAAUCAUCAACCGGUAGGCACUUAUGUGCUGGAGCUAUAUCACAUUAUGGUGCCUUUGUGCUAAAGGUUGCUGAACUUUUCCCUGAGUACAAGGUUCCCAGGUAAAUUUUGGUCUGCAAAAUGCAUUUGCAAAUGAAAUGGUGUGCAUAUCUUAUGUUUUCGCUGUUUGGUUUCCUGAUAAGUGAAUGUCUCAUCUCUUGGCAGAAGCGCAACUUAAAAAUAUAGUAUGUCUUGAUUUUGAACCGAGGUUUCUUAGAUACACUGAACUCUUCUACAGCUGGAGGAUGAUGAUUUUUUCUUUCUUUUUUUCCUCCCAUCACGUGUUUGAUAUUUGAGACCAAAUUAGCGAAUUGAAAUCUGAUUUUUCCUAUAAAAGAGUGUUCAUGCGGGUAUAGAUGUGCAUACGUCAUCUUUCUUUGGUCUAUUUAAAAUCCCUUCCAAAUGUUGAUUUCCACGUUUUUCAACCUUUUGGUGCAUUCUUGCUUGCCUUGGCGGAAUUUUACAAUUUUUUUAGGUGGUGUGUGUCUGAUUUUGAAAAUGCUCGAGCUAAUAUGUUUACUUUUGUGUAGUUUGCCAAAGGACACCCAACCGAGCUUGCUGCCGAGGGAAAGAACGGUGCGAAGAAGCUAAUGAACUUGGGUUUAGAAUUCAUUCCCAUGGAUCAAAUUAUCAAGGAUGCUGUUGAGAGCCUAAAGAGCAAGGGAUUUAUUUCAUAAAUGAAACUGCAGGAAUAUGAAACUUAUCAGGGAUCAAGGUAUGACUUGUACUAGUAGCUGAGUACGUGUAACAUGAAUGGUUGUUUCAACUCCUUUAAAUUUUCCUUCUUCUAGGUAGGAGAGCAAUUUAUAUGAAACGAGUUCAUUGCCAUUAUGGCGUUCUGGUCCAGUAAUAUAUUGUCACGUGAAGAAAAACUUAAACAUAUCAGUGCAUUGUUGGACUGGAAUGCUACGUGAUAUAACAAUUAUUCCAUACAUUUUAUUUCCUUUUUAUUUGGAUUAUUGUGAUUGUUUUAAGUGAAUUCAGUUCUCUUUUACUUAGUUUUGUGUUCUUUGGUUCGAGGAGUAAAGAUGAAGAAACAAGAAAAUGGAGGGAUUUUGCAAUUGAAACGAGUUUUGCUUCCUGGAAGCAGACACUGUCUGCGCAGAAUAGCCAACUUGACCGAAUAAACUGUACUUCAGAAGGAACCAGCUAUUGAGCCUUAUACCAUUGCAAAGAUAUUGAAGUUAGCUUUCAAAGAAAUUUUACGGGUGAUAAUUCACUUGAAGCCCAUUGCCCAAGAGAGCUUGUACAGAUGACUUUAAUCCUAUUUCAAUAGGGUCUGAAGUAAGUUACUUGGGAAGUUUACUCGCCACAUCAUCAGUCAUGCAAUACAAAUGAGGAAAAGAUUGCACAAGACCGAUAGGAUUUUGACCAAUAUAGGUUGUAGGAAGUCGGAGGGACGUUUUGGAGAGAGAUUUUCUGCAAAGUUUGAAGAGGAGAAGCAGCGGCCAUCAGCCAUCGUUCUAUCCUUCUACAUCGUUUAUAAGUUUUCCAUGUUUUCUAGACUUUUCAUUAUGUUUUCGUGCUCUAUGAAUAACUAAACUCUUUUCUAGGGCUAGGAUGAUGCCCUAGCAUGAAUGUUAUGAUUUUCAACAGUAUUUGUUGGAUAUUUAAUUUGUUGGAUGAAUUCUUAUUCACUACAAGAACUGAAUGCUUUAUGUUCGAAUUCUUUGACUGAUGAUGUUAGGGCUUUCCAUAUAGUAACUUGAAGAUGGAAUUGAGGCGUAACUGCAAUAUAAUUCGGAUUAGCUUCUUGAUAAUAAGGGUUGUGAAUUACAUAGAUGUUGUAACAAGAUUUAUGGUUUGCAUGAUUCUCCUGUUCUCUUGUACGUAAUGAGUUCUACAUGUUAAAUUUAUGCCCUAACCAGAUAGACUGCAUUUUAGGAUAUACGACCUUUGCCGAAAAAAAGGUCGUACCCAGUGCACAAGGCUCCCGCUUUACGCAGGGUCUGGGAGAGGUGAAUGUCGGCUAGCCUUACCCCCAUUUAUGGAGAGACUGCUCUCAAGUCUCGAACCCGAAAUCGAAGAAAAUCACAUACUUAAGGAGAACUAUGGUUUAUAGUGCCUUAACCGGACUUAGAUACAGGAAUUGUCUUCUAAGGGAAAAUAUUCCAUUGAAUGCAUUGAAACCUAAACCGGAUUGUCAUCUUUGUUGUAUUUAUUAACAAAUAAGGAUAAUUCAAAUAUUAAGAGGUUGCAUAUACCUUUAUAAUGAACUGAAUUCAGCCACAGAUUCUGGUUUUAUUUCUCAUACGAUGUCAAAACAGGAAUCCAGAGUCCUUGACUCUACUUGUGUAGAAUGUUGGUAAUUUCCACUGAUGGAACACUCCCUUGCCCUCAAAGAUAUGUGAUAUAACAUGGGCGAAAGAAUGAAUAAACCGGACUAGUACCGGCCUUCUUGGUGUUAUUCUCAUCAUAGUAGCUUGCUAUCUGCAUAAUUUGUUUUCGUGCAUGUUAAGAAUAGACCCUUACACCUCUUUAUGUUGUCCUGUUGUAGCUGGUCUGCAAGCGGCCUGCGUUGGUUGUGCCGGCUUUGCUGCAUUUUCAGUGCUGAUAGAGAAGUUUUUGGAUAGACAUGAUUGAGUUUGAGCGCUUUGCCUGUGCUGCACCAGUUUUGCAGACACUAAAAAUAUGACAAUUCAGCAGAAGUGCCCUGCAGUGAUACGAAUGUUUUUGCUUAGGUUCAACUUCAGCCCUUGUUAUGGUUAUUUAUCCAAAAUCAUUUAUGAAGGGAUGUUCUAGCGAACAUACAAAUCCAAUGAUUUUGUGUUAUGCAUUCUCUCGACUACAGUUGAGAUUUUUUGAGAAUCUACACCGUAUUUUUAGCGGUAUGAUCAUUGAUUUAGAUUUGUAAUUCAACAAACAAACACCCAAACGAAAGGAUUAAUUCCCGGCAGGAAGUCUCAACUCAUGAAAGAUAUUCGGAUUUUGAGAAGAAGGUUUACGCUGCUCUAAAGAAAUGAGCUUGCUUGCUGGAUAGGCAUUCAGAUUCACUCCUAAAGUUUUCGUUAAUCCUUUCUCUCCACACAGUAAACUGCAGCAUCAAGGUAAAAUCUUGGUAAAUCAAAGAAUCUUGCUUUAUAAAAUCAAAGAAUCUUAACAAGUCACCAUAGACGGUUCGGAUUGAAUUUCAUCGUGAUAAUUAAAUAAGCAAAUGGUUGCGGAUUAAAUUGAAUUUUUGCAAGAAACCUUGAAAUUGAGGAACAUUUUGUUCUAUAAGAAACAAUGAAAUUUCAUCGUAAUAAUUAAAUAGACAAAUGAUUUUGGAUAUCAAAACCAGAAAACCAGUAAGUCUCAAUUAAAGAACAUUCGUAGCUAGAAAUCAAAUAUAAAUUUAAAAAAAAAAAAAAUUGCCAAAGAGAACAGUGGCACGAAUGCCAAAUACCCGUGACCUAAUGCUUGCUUCUUAUCGAGGAUUGAUUCAUAAGCCAUCAUGUUAAUUUGUUUAUAUGAGAUGUUGAAAAGAUGUUGAGAAUGAAUCUCACAUUGAUAGGAGAAACUAUGCAUAGACUUAAAAGUAAGUUGGGCUACUUCCCCAUAUUGUCAAUUGGUUUUAUGGUUGAACUCCAAUUUCUUCAUAAGGUUUACGUUCUAAAAAACAAAUUUAGACUACUUGCCGACACUGCCAGUAUAUAUUCACCCCUGAAAUUUGUUGUUCCUUUCAUCCAAGGAGAGCAAACAGCAGCAUCAAGGAAAAUCUUUUUGGUAUUAAGAGCAAAGAAUCUUGCAUUAAGAAAGCAAACGGGAAAACAAAGGUGUCCACUGUCUAUAUAAACUAGCAAAGAAGAAAAGCUAUAGCACAACCAUCCUGCAUUAGUUUCCUCUUCAUGUAUACAUUCCUACGCAGCUGACUUCUUCUUCUUCUUCUUCUUCUUCUUCUUCUUCUUCUUCUCCACUCUCAACCGAUUUCUAAGUUUGUAACCCUGAAAAUGGCUGACGCCCUCGUUUCCAUGCUACUAGAGAAGUUGGCUACAACAACUUAUGAGUACGUAGAGGACGAGCUGACACUCAUUCUAAAUGUUAAGAAAGAAGUUGAAGAGUUCACUGGCAACCUGAAAGCUAUUGAAUCUAUGCUUGAGGAUGCAGAGCAAAGGCAAAUGAAGGAGGCAAACGUGCAAAACUGGCUGGAUAACCUGAAGGAAAUAUCGUACCAGAUGGUGGACGUGCUGGAUGAGUGGAACACUGACGUUCUGAGACAAGAAGUUGAGAAACAAGAAGGAGAAGGCACAACUCAUAUUACUCAUCAGAGGAAGGUAAGUUUUGCUAUCUUCGCUCGUUGUUUUUGUCUUGGCCAAGUCGGCAAGGUUAUUAUUCGUCGUGAAAUUGCUCUCAAGAUAAAGGAUCUAAAUGAGCAGUUAGUUGGGAUUUAUAAGCAAAGAAAAAUGUAUAAUUUUCAACUCACUGAAAUAGUCAUUCAAAAACAGCAAACUUCGUCUUUUGUCGAUAUGUCUGAGAUAUUUGGUCGAGAAAAGGAAAAGGAUAGUUUGAUAAGGAAGUUGGUGAGUGAUGGUAGUGAAGAAGGGAGGGGGCUCCUCAUCAUCCCUAUUGUAGGGAUGGGAGGUAUGGGAAAGACAACUUUGGCUCAGUUAGUCUAUAAUGAUGCCAAUGUUAAAGCUCAUUUUCAAAAGAGAAUAUGGGUUUGUGUGUCAGAGCCUUUCGAUGAGACAAAGAUUGCCAAAGAGAUUAGUGGUGAUGCCACCUCAAGUUCAACUGGGUUGGAUCAUGUCUUAGAAUCUAUGUCUCGAUCCAUUAAAGGGGUAAAGUUUCUUCUUGUGUUGGAUGAUGUGUGGACUGAAGACCGUAAAAAGUGGUAUCAAUUAAAGGUUCCAUUGAUGCAAAAUGGGGCUGAGGGCAGUAGAAUACUAGUAACCACCAGAAAAGAAAAUGUUGCUAGUAUGAUGGAAGCAACCUCUCACAUGAUCAAUCUUGCAGAGUUGAGCGAACAAAAUUGUUUGUCAAUCUUCAAUCACAUGGCAUUUUCUAAUAGAGAAAUAGGCGAGUUUGAGGUGUUUGGAGAAAUCAGUAGGGAGAUUGUAAGAAAGUGUAAGGGUUUGCCACUUGUUGCAAAGACUUUAGGUAGUAUGAUGCGAGAUAAGAGGACAAGGAGUGAAUGGUUGAAGGUUCUGAAUAGUAAAAUAUGGGAUUGGGAAGAAGUGGAGCAAGAAGUUUUCCAGCCAUUAUUUCUAAGUUAUUAUGAUUUGGCCCCGAGAAACAAAUGUUGCCUUUUAUAUUGUGCUAUUUUUCCAAAAGAUUAUGAGUUUAGUAGAGAUGAGUUGAUUAAUCUUUGGAUGGCACAAGAUUAUCUUAAUUCUAGAGAGAAUAAAGAUAAAGGAAAAACUGGUCAAGCUGUUUUUGAUAAUUUAGUUGCUCGGUCUUUUUUUCAAGAUUUUAAGAAACAUUACGACACUGGUGCGAUAAUAGGUUGCAAAAUGCAUGACAUUGUACAUGACUUCGUGCAAUUUAUCACCAAGAAGGAAUGCUUGAGUACCGAGGCAGAGGUUGCAAACCGUAAAAUAGAGGUAUUGGGCAGUAAUCUUCGCCAUCUGACCUUAACAUCUGUGGUUGAUGAUCAAGCUUUACUUUCUAUCACUUCUCGGAAUUGCAAAAAUCUACGUACGCUCACAACAACUCACUCAAGUGUUGCUACGGUAUAUGCUAGUUUUAUUUUACAAGUUAAAUGUCUUAGGACGAUAAGGUUGUCUGGAAAUUCCAUCAAAGAACUCCCAAAAGAGAUUGGUGAAUUGGUACAUUUGAGGCAUAUUGAUUUGUCUAGGAGUAUAAAGUUGGAGAAGUUACCAGACACCAUUUGUGGUUUAUAUAACUUGUAUACCUUGGACCUUCGAAGAUGGAAAUCGCUACAUAAAUUGCCUGAUAACAUGGGAAAGUUGAUUAGCUUAAGGCAUCUUUACGUUGGGGAGAGUGACUCACUGAAGUACUUGCCAAAAGGGAUAGGGAGAUUAACAAGUUUGCAAACACUAGACGUUUGUCCUCUUUUUUCUGUUGACAAUGACGAAGCAUUUCAAGUUGGGGAUUUGGGAACCGUGAACCAGCUCCACGGCAGUCUCCAAAUAAGAAUUUUGGGGAAGGUGAAAGAUGGGAGUGAAGCACAACUGCGGGACAACAAGCAACUUUUUCAUCUCCAACUUGAUUUUGGUGAAGUGCGUGACAAGGCCGGAGAGAGCAGUGGACGAAAUAUGGAUGUCUUAAGACCACACGAUGAUCUGGAAUCUUUAGAGAUUUAUGGGUAUUUUGGCUCGACCUGGCCGAAUUGGUUGAUGUCUUUAAAAAAGUUGCGAUUCCUUACUCUGGAGGAUAAUUGUGUUUGUGAAAUUUUGCCUCCUCUUGGGAAAUUGCCGUUCCUUGAAGGACUCCACCUCGGGGCAAUGUCGGGUGUAAGAAAGAUUGGUGGUGAGUUUUUGGGAGUAGAAGAUGAUCAAACAUCUUCAUUCAAAUCAUCCUUGUCAAUAUUAUUCCCAAAAUUGAAGCGACUCCACUUUUACAACAUGUUGUCUUGGAAGGACUGGGGAGGCGUGAAAGGGUGGAACAAAGGAGAUUCUGGAAUUACUAUCAUGCCAUGUCUUUCUUCCUUAGACAUAACUAUGUGCUCUGAGCUAGAAACGCUGCCAGACUUCCUCUGCAAAAUGCCACUCAAGAAUCUUUCCAUUUUUUACUGUCCAACACUUGCCAAACGUUGCAAAGAAAGCAGUGGAGAGGAGUGGCCCAAGAUUUCUCACAUCCCAAACGUCAAGAUUUGUGCUAAUGACGUUUAAUCUUGGUGAGUUGCAGUGUUUUGAUUAUUUACUUCGUUUUGGAUAUGUACAAAUACAAUUAAUUUAAGGUGAAAAGUAUAUGAAAAAUAAUUAUAAUUAUUUGUAUUCCAAAUUGCAGAUAAUAGUGCAGAGGCCUAGGUCAAAUAAACCUCCAAGCUGUUUGGUGCGGCGCUAGUUCCCUCCUCAAGAAACGACGACGAUCAAAAUUUAACUGUAUUAAUUCCAAAAUCCCACUACGUUGAAUGAGUUGUUAAUUAAGGUAAGCUAGACAGUACUAUAUAUAUGUAUGUAUGUAUGUAUGUCAAGAAAACAUCUGCGGUUACUAAGUUCUAUGCAGUGAUUCACUAAAAUUAAAUAAGGAAAGUUUAACGAAAAGCUCUCUGUACUGUUCAUUUUAACGAAAAAUCACAUUUUUACACUAAAAAGUCAAUUUUGGUACUAUUCACUUUACUAUUUAUUUUGUCAUUAUCGUUAAAACUCAAAGUUUUCUAACCAUUUUUAUUAGUUUUCCUUUUAACAAGGGACAUAUACAAAAGAUAUUAAUAUUUUUCAACAAAAGAAAAUGUUAUUGGCACUUUCAAAAUCUCAUUUUACACUCUUCACAAGUAUAUUUUUCAUUCGUAAUAUAGAAAAUUUGGAGUGUAAAAUAAGAUUUUUGGAGUGCUAAUAAGAAUUCUCUUCAACAAAUUGUGGCUCAUUAGAGUUUUCUGCAAUAAUUUUGAUAAAUCCAAGUUAUUUACGAUAUUUAUUUAUUUAUUUAUUACAAGUGAUAUUACUAAUAUAAAAAAUUAGGUAUAAAUAUUAAAGAGAAGUCAAGCGUUUUAACUCGAGAUAUUGUGUGUACGUUAUACACUCAAUUUUCGAUGUACAUUAUCUUUUUAUUUGUAAAUUCCAUUUAGAUUUUGUGCAUGCAAUCAGCUGAAGUAACUGAGGAGCACUCGACCGCUGAAAGCAAAGGGACACUGCAACCUGCAGGGAGGGAGGAUGUCGAAGCAGGGUGAGGUCGUAUGCGUUACCGGUGGAAGCGGCUGCAUCGGAUCCUGGCUCGUCCGUCUCCUCCUCCACCGUGAUUACACCGUCCACGCCACCGUCAAGGAUCUCAGUAACUUCACCCUUGCUUUUCCCCUUAUCUACACAACCGCCACAGUUCCAUUCAUUCCAUUCGCGUUCAGUUCAAAAUUAAUAACGCCGUUGUUUUGUUUGUUGCAGAGGACGAUGGCGAGACGAAGCAUCUAGAAGCGUUAGUAGAGGGGGCAGAGUCGCGCCUCCGUCUCUUCCAGAUCGACCUCCUCGACUACAACUCCAUACUCGCCGCCGUCAAUGG
rnacentral:lncRNA from 1 species